rnacentral:piRNA from 1 species
UGCACUUUUAUUGGCCAUGGUUUCU